GAUGAACGCUGGCGGCGUGCCUAAUACAUGCAAGUCGAGCGAAUGGAUUAAGAGCUUGCUCUUAUGAAGUUAGCGGCGGACGGGUGAGUAACACGUGGGUAACCUGCCCAUAAGACUGGGAUAACUCCGGGAAACCGGGGCUAAUACCGGAUAACAUUUUGAACCGCAUGGUUCGAAAUUGAAAGGCGGCUUCGGCUGUCACUUAUGGAUGGACCCGCGUCGCAUUAGCUAGUUGGUGAGGUAACGGCUCACCAAGGCAACGAUGCGUAGCCGACCUGGGAGGGUGAGCGGCCACACUGGGACUGAGACACGGCCCAGACUCCUACGGGAGGCAGCAGUAGGGAAUCUUCCGCAAUGGACGAAAGUCUGACGGAGCAACGCCGCGUGAGUGAUGAAGGCUUUCGGGUCGUAAAACUCUGUUGUUAGGGAAGAACAAGUGCUGGUUGAAUAAGCUGGCACCUUGACGGUACCUAACCAGAAAGCCACGGCUAACUACGUGCCAGCAGCCGCCGUAA
rnacentral:rRNA from 1 species